rnacentral:rRNA from 1 species
ACCAGACUCCUACGGGAGGCAGCAGUGGGGAAUAUUGCACAAUGGGGGAAACCCUGAUGCAGCGACGCCGCGUGAGCGAAGAAGUAUUUCGGUAUGUAAAGCUCUCUCAGCAGGGAAGAAAAAAAUGACGGUACCCGAGUAAGAAGCACCGGCUAAAUACGUGCCAGCAGCCGCGGUAAUACGUAUGGUGCAAGCGUUAUCCGGAUUUACUGGGUGUAAAGGGAGCGUAGGCGGCGCGUUAAGUCUGAUGUGAAAACCCGAGGCUCAACCACGGGAGUGCAUUGGAAACUGGCGGGCUGGAGUGCCGGAGAGGUAAGCGGAAUUCCUAGUGUAGCGGUGAAAUGCGUAGAUAUUAGGAGGAACACCAGUGGCGAAGGCGGCUUACUGGACGGCAACUGACGCUGAGGCUCGAAAGCGUGGGUAGCAAACAGGAUUAGAUACCCGAGUAA